rnacentral:rRNA from 1 species
UGUGCCCAGAUGGGAUUAGCUAGUUGGUGAGGUAACGGCUCACCAAGGCGACGAUCCCUAGCUGGUCUGAGAGGAUGACCAGCCACACUGGAACUGAGACACGGUCCAGACUCCUACGGGAGGCAGCAGUGGGGAAUAUUGCACAAUGGGCGCAAGCCUGAUGCAGCCAUGCCGCGUGUAUGAAGAAGGCCUUCGGGUUGUAAAGUACUUUCAGCGGGGAGGAAGGUGUUGUGGUUAAUAACCGCAGCAAUUGACGUUACCCGCAGAAGAAGCACCGGCUAACUCCGUGCCAGCAGCCGCGGUAAUACGGAGGGUGCAAGCGUUAAUCGGAAUUACUGGGCGUAAAGCGCACGCAGGCGGUCUGUCAAGUCGGAUGUGAAAUCCCCGGGCUCAACCUGGG